rnacentral:rRNA from 1 species
GACGAACGCUGGCGGCGUGCAUAAUACAUGCAAGUCGAACGCUUCUUUCCUCCCGAGUGCUUGCACUCAAUUGGAAAGAGGAGUGGCGGACGGGUGAGUAACACGUGGGUAACCUACCCAUCAGAGGGGGAUAACACUUGGAAACAGGUGCUAAUACCGCAUAACAGUUUAUGCCGCAUGGCAUAAGAGUGAAAGGCGCUUUCGGGUGUCGCUGAUGGAUGGACCCGCGGUGCAUUAGCUAGUUGGUGAGGUAACGGCUCACCAAGGCCACGAUGCAUAGCCGACCUGAGAGGGUGAUCGGCCACACUGGGACUGAGACACGGCCCAGACUCCUACGGGAGGCAGCAGUAGGGAAUCUUCGGCAAUGGACGAAAGUCUGACCGAGCAACGCCGCGUGAGUGAAGAAGGUUUUCGGAUCGUAAAACUCUGUUGUUAGAGAAGAACAAGGACGUUAGUAACUGAACGUCYCCUGACGGUAUCUAACCAGAAAGCCACGGCUAACUACGUGCCAGCAGCCGCGGUAAUACGUAGGUGGCAAGCGUUGUCCGGAUUUAUUGGGCGUAAAGCGAGCGCAGGCGGUUUCUUAAGUCUGAUGUGAAAGCCCCCGGCUCAACCGGGGAGGGUCAUUGGAAACUGGGAGACUUGAGUGCAGAAGAGGAGAGUGGAAUUCCAUGUGUAGCGGUGAAAUGCGUAGAUAUAUGGAGGAACACCAGUGGCGAAGGCGGCUCUCUGGUCUGUAACUGACGCUGAGCUCGAAAGCGUGGGGAGCAACAGGAU